rnacentral:misc_RNA from 1 species
AUAAACUUGCUGACUUAUUAACUUGAACUUGUUUGUUAAUGCUGCAAUUUUCUUCUCGACUUGACUUUUGGUCUUACCAAUUUUGCCCUGCUCAACGGUUUAUGAAAAAAAAACUUCAGAGUCUUCGUCUGUGCUUCAGCUUUUUGUCUUCUUUCUACUAAUUUUUUUUUAUUGUUUUUUUUUUUUUUGUUUUUGGUCAGCAUUCUUUUGUGAAGGCGAUUGCCUUUUUUUCUGUUGGCUGUAAGCUUUCGUCAAGCCAAGGUAAUAAUUUGUCUGUACUUCUUUAGUUUUUAUUUCUGCAUGUUACCAAAAAAUGUCAAAAAAAAGCUAAGAAAAUGAGGAAGAAAUUAUAGACCAAGUCUAGUCUUGGCUAAUUGAAUGUUGAAACGUCUUCACUUAGUUCUUUCUUCUUCUUUGUAGAUUUUGGCUGCAACUGUGCUUUCAACUCGAAAUUUCUUUCAUCUCUUAUUUGUUAAAUGAGCUGAAACCUGACCUUAAAGGCAUGUGCACAAAGGUGAUAAAGUCAGCCAACGGAGCAGCAAGAGCCACCGAUCAACUACCGCCCGGCCCGGCCCGGCAGGCAGGCAGGCAGGCAGACGCUCUUGUCUUAUCGUAUUGGCCAAAUGCUUGACAAUAAAUUAGAUUUUGUGCAAAUUUAGAAUGAAAUCAAAAAUAAAAGCAGCAGCAAUGCAUUAAGUGGAUGCGCUCGACUGGGCAAUACCCUGCAACAUAACGGUCUCUAUCAAUUUUGUAGACUAAGCUGAGUUUAUAGAUCUUAGCAAAUCGUAAUUCAUUUAGAGACGUUGAAGAUUACGAAGUGGAUCGAUCAGAGCUGCUCCCUCUCUUCCCUUACUCAUUUGCAUAUCGCAUAUAUACCCCAUCUGCUCGCUGGUAGGGUAUUGAAAACAAUAUGCCAUCCACUCGAAUGGUAUUUGGCCUGCUCCCAUGAUGGUGCAAAAAAAAAAGCUAUUCACAUAAUUGUGUGAUUUAUAUCACAGCGAAUAGCGGGAAGAGCGAGAAAGUUCGAUGCAAACUGAACGAAUUGUAGAUGCUCUUUAGCUAGAUGAAAUCGCAUUGAAACGGUUUAUGAAUCAAUAUGAAGUGAAACCAGAAAAUAAUUGAAUGAAUUUCAGCUUAAGUU